rnacentral:rRNA from 1 species
UACGGAGGGUGCAAGCGUUAUCCGGAUUCACUGGGUUUAAAGGGUGCGUAGGCGGCCCGGUAAGUCAGUGGUGAAAGCUCUCAGCUUAACUGAGAAACUGCCAUUGAAACUGCCAGGCUUGAAUACAGUUGAAGUAGGCGGAAUACAACAUGUAGCGGUGAAAUGCUUAGAUAUGCGGAGGAACACCGAUGGCGAAGGCAAUCCCCUGGACCUGUACUGACGCUCAUGCACGAAAGCGUGGGGAGCAAACAGG